rnacentral:rRNA from 1 species
AGUUGCCAUCAGGUAAUGCUGGGGACUCUAAAGGAACUGCCUACGCAAGUAGUGAGAAGGCGGGGAUGACGUCAAAUCAGCACGGCCCUUACGUCCAGGGCUACACACGUGCUACAAUGGCCGAUACAGAGGGCAGCUACCUGGUGACAGGAUGCAAAUCUCCAAAGUCGGUCUCAGUUCGGAUCGGAGUCUGCAACCGACUCCGUGAAGUUGGAUUCGCUAGUAAUCGCGCAUCAGCCAUGGCGCGGUGAAUACGUUCCCGGGCCUU